CGGGCCAGCGCAUUGCGCCCAGCGCCGGCCUUUCCCCGGGCCUGCGAGGCGGCCGUGGGCAUCUCCUGACUCCUGCGUCCCGCAGCCCUCGGCUCAAGCGGGUUUUGAUUUGGGGGUGGGGGCUCCCGGCCUGGCAGCUGAGUAUUUCUAACGGCUGCACCUCAGGAGGAUAAAUCAGUUCUGAAAUUUAUCUGUACCUCGCCCUUGGGCUCCGAUGUUAAUAGACUUCCCUUGGCAGAAGCACUGCUUCCCCGCGCCAGGGCUGCAGAGAAACCCCAAAUGGGCCCCCGCGGGGGACAGCCCACAAAUCUCCACACAGCACGCUGCUCCAGGAGGGCCUGGGGGCUGCCCCGGACACCCGGCGGCCGCUUCUCCGCGAGGGACAUUCAGGGAUCUCCGCGUCGGAAGGAACCGGAGCAGUCAUUUCAAAAGGCCUCCCGAGGGCACACGAGUGGACCCUGCGACACAAACCACCCCACCGUGGACCCCGGCGUCCUGCCGAGGAGCCGGAGCCGGCCCGCGGGCGCCACGUCCUCUGCGCUGGCAGUGACUGAGCGAAGACGGGCACUGGCCGGACGCUGCCGUCCAGGAGCUCUGUAGUGUUCUAGACUAGAUCAGUAAAACGUACAUGUGUUUCAUCGACAGCCUUGCUAAUCACCUUUUAAUGUUGUACUUCGUGCUAGGAGAAAAAAAUUUGCAAUAAGAUUAUGAUGUCGCGUGUCUGCAGCUGAGUAGCUGAGGACAUUUACACUUUUGUUUCUCAUAAUAUCUUUUUAUGUACAGCCCAUGUUAAAAGCAGUUUCUAUCAGAAGCAGACUAGGCUAUUUCUACUUCUCCCAGGAUAUUAUUGUUUUAAUGUAGAAUACUUGGCACCAUAAAACGGUAACAAAAGACAGACAAAACAGUUUACAAAAUUCUUAAAAGGUACACCCAGGCCUUGCCAUAAAUGUCCCAUUCUGGUCUUAAUGCAGCGCGGACGGAGGGGAGGGGCAGGGGGCCAGCGUGGACGCUGGAGGGCACGGGUGCCCGCGGUCGGUGGCGCUGCCGGGUCAGACAGUCCGUCGUAGAAAUCGGGCUUGACAUCCACGCGAGGGUCCCUGCAGGGUGCUCUCGAGUGUUCAUACUGGAAAGUGUAUCUAGCAUACGUUUUGGUACGGUUUAUAAAUUAUUUUAAAAAGUAUAUAUUUAUAUAUAUUUAUAUCUAUAAAAAUGGAAAGCAGCUGCAGUGUGCUCAACCAUGCAACGUGGCAGUAGAGGGGACAGCAUG
rnacentral:lncRNA from 1 species